UCAAAGAGAUAAGAUCGACAGGUAACGUGCGAUUGCCGAUUUGAAUCAAACAAGACUUAUAAAAAGUGGAUGUAAUGAAGGUUUUUCCCAACGGAGCUUCAAUAGAUAAGUCAAAGUUUAAUUUCUCCGGAGUUAAAUUUAAAUGUUGAGCGGAAGUAGGCGAAAUAAAUUAAUGGGUAGAACCGGUAUCAAAUAAGGUAUAGACUUCACUAGAGUUUAUGAUUAGCUUACCCGUGAUCACCUCGUUCGGAU
rnacentral:lncRNA from 1 species